UCCCUGGAAGUCCAGUGAUGAAGACUCUGUGCUGCCACCGCAAGGAGCACAGGUUCGAUACCUGGUCAGGGAA
rnacentral:tRNA from 1 species